UUUCCGUAGGUGAACCUGCGGAAGGAUCAUUAAAGAGUAAGGGUCUUCGGGCCCGAUCUCCAACCCUUUGCUUAACUACCAUGUUGCUUUGGCGGGCCCGUCUCACGACCGCCGGAAGUUUGGCUUCGACCAAACUUCUGGCCCGUGCCCGUCAGUGGCCCCUUCAAAUUCUUGAUCAAGUAUGAUGUCUUAGUUAAAAACUUAAUAGUUAAAACUUUCAACAACGGAUCUCUUGGUUCUG
rnacentral:misc_RNA from 1 species